rnacentral:rRNA from 1 species
CAGGCCUAACACAUGCAAGUCGAACGAAGAUCAGGAGCUUGCUCCUGUAAUUAGUGGCGAACGGGUGAGUAACACCUGAGUAUCCUGCCCCCUGACGCUGGGAAUAAAGCUGUCUGGAAACGAAGCGUCUUAAUUCACUGGAAAUAUGUAUUCACCGGCCCACAGUGGUGCUGACUCGGUGGAAACUAUGUUUCUGUGUAGAGGGAAUGGACUGCUCCGGACCUAUCAACUUGUUGGUGAGGUAGCUGGCUCACGCAGGCGACCACUGUGUAGCUGGACUAAGAUGGUGACUGGACAGGUGGGACUAAGAGACGGACAUGACUCCUACGGGAGGCAGCGGUGGGGAAUAUAGCACGGUGGGCGCAUCCUCAUGCAGUAACGCCUCUUUAAGGAUGGUCGUCUUAUGGUUGUACACCUCUUAUAGGAAGGAAGAACCGAAAGUGACUGUACCUGCGUAAUAAGCACCGGCUAACUACGUGCCAGCAGCCGCG